rnacentral:rRNA from 1 species
UACGUAGGGGGCCAGCGUUGUCCGAAGUUACUGGGCGUAAAGAGCGUGUAGGCGGGUCUUUAAGUGAGAGGUGAAAGGUUCAGGGCUCAACCCGAACACUGCCUUUCAUACUGGGGACCUUGAGGGCGGGAGAGGCGAGUGGAAUGGUCGGUGUAGCGGUGAAAUGCGUAGAUAUCGGGAAGAACACCCGUGGCGAAGGCGGCACUCUGGGACGGUACUGACGCUGAGACGCGAAAGCGUGGGGAGCGAACAGG